rnacentral:rRNA from 1 species
CACGUAGUUGGCCGGUCCUUCUUCUGCAGGUACCGUCACUCUCGCUUCGUCCCUGCUGAAAGAGGUUUACAACCCGAAGGCCGUCAUCACUCACGCGGCGUUGCUGCGUCAGACUUUCGUCCAUUGCGCAAUAUUCCCCA